AUAAGUGACUCUGUCUAAACCGGAAUCUUGUACCGACUUUUGAGAACCAAUCCUUAUAGUUUACGGCAACUUUUGAUUUGAUUCAUUUCAAAAUAGAGAAUAAAGUAAGAAAUACUCUGAUCUCGCUUUAUUUUCUAUGGAGUAAUAAAAUAAAAAUAUAUUUAUUCUAUAAACGAAAUAAUUUUUUCCAUUUUUAUCUUUUACUUUUUUUUCACCAAAAUAGAAUAUAAUUAGAGUAAAUUUAAUUUAAUUUUAUGAAUAUUUCAUUUUAAAAAAAUAUAAUUUUACAUUAGAUCUAAAACUCAUAUGUUUACACGUCAAAAAGACUCCACUUUCGUGAAUUUUUUGAAGACGAUGACAUAUGUUUUAUUUUCCAUAGGUACGUAUAUUUUAAGUAAAUUAAUAUUGAAUAAAUGAUAAGGAACUAGGGAGGGAGAAUAUUUGGAAAGAUGAGCCAUAUUAAUUUCGAAAUUCAAAUGUAGUAUACUAUACUGGCAGUGACAUAACCCCACCAACAUGCCUUGCUUUCUCUUACAGACCUCAUAAAUACUAAUUGAAUGCUCAUGGGAAAAUCGUUUAUUUCGUCGGCUACAAAUGAAUUAGUUAACUUCAUGCCAAGGACUUCAUUAAUAGUAGUAUUUGGAAAACCAAUUAAUUCUUGAUUUUUACGAUAAAAUACUACCAACAAUGCAUCUUUUAUGCUUUUUUUGUCACUGAUGCAUCUUGUAUGUUUUUUUCUUCAUCUUUUAUGUUUAAAACAUAUUACAUUGAUUUGGUUAGAAGAGGGGUGUUAAAAAAAUUGAUUUGGUUAUAAGAGUUUGAGGUGGUUAGACUAAAGAGUUAGAUGUUUCCAGAGACCCAUUGUUAGAGCACCAAUAACGGCGCCUCUUAGAGGUGUCCCUUCAAAAAAAAAAAAUUAAAAUCAUGCGGGUCUCACCUAAAUCCUAAGGGCUGCUUCUUCUGCCUCUUCCGUAAAAGGCGAGUUUGGGAGGGUUUUACCAUUUUUCGCGGGCUCCACUGGCUUGUUUUUAAUUUUAAUUUUUUUUAAAAUCAGAUAGAGAAAAAAAAACCCCUAAGAACCCUUUACCCUAAUGAUGGUCUUAAGCCACUCCGCCAACAAACUCUUGUUCUUCAAAAUCAUAUGAGAUUAUUUUCAACGAUUAUAUCAUCGCUUGGAAAGUAUAUAUACUAUAAAAACAUUUAAAAUUUAAUAAGAACACGUAUAAAUACUCUUUUCAAAAAAGUUUCCUAUAGAAACAAUUCAAAUUUAAUAAACCAACCUCCUUUUUGGUAUGGGGUUGUUGGUCUAAUUUAAUGCUAGUGACUCUCUUCUUCAACCAUCUUCAUAUUUAGAUCUUGUUCUUCACUUUGCAGUCUCAUAGACUUUGCAAAUAGCCACCUUCUUUUCUCUCCUCUGUUUCUUCUACUUAGUACUUUUUGUUUUGGACGUUGCUGAAAAUAAGAGUUCUGCGCGGAUCCAAUGAUCUUCACCGCUAGUGAUGAAAAUCGGAUGAGACGGGUUUUGGUUGUGAUGUAAGCUGGUCAAGCGAGAUAUUAGUGCGGUUCAAUCAAAUAGUCGCACUCUUAGUAGAUAGAGAUUGAUUUUGUUCGAUUGAGCCGUGCCAAUAUCACGCAUAUAACCAAGAUGGUUAUUAACCUCAAAAGUAUAUUGUCAAUCAUCUUAAAGAGUGAUAGAGCUCAAGGUACUCAAGUGCAGGACGAUUCCAUGACCAGCCUUGCUUCAUCAGUGAUUUAAACCACUCUCUAUACCAAAGCCAAUAUCGCCCUGCAAGAAGAAGAAAAACAAGUCACACCGGUUAAAGUAAUGCUCCAAUCAACGAGAGUAUAAUUAUCCUUACACCUGCUGAGUACUAAUUACUGAAACGCUAAUACUGUAGGCUUUGUAGCACACCAAACUUGUAGACGUGCAUGGAGUCAUAUAGAAUAUAUUUAAAGAAUAUACUUUUGUUUGUGUGUUUAGCAUAGUCUUAAGAUACUGAGUCUAAGUCCAUUUUGGGCCCCAUGAUAUCAAUAUAUUUACAUUUCAACUCACCUCUAAAAACAAUUGUUGUCUUCUAU